GGUCAGCUGACACAUCCCUGCCAAUCUCCGGCAGACCCUCCCUCCCAGACCCUCUCACCUCCUGGACAGCAUCCAUGUUGAAGCUGCCUUCAACAUGGAUGCUGUCCAGGAAGUAGGAGGGUCUGGGAGGGAGGGUCUGCCGGAGAUUGGCAGGGAUGUGUCAGCUG